GGGCUCAAAAUGUACUCCGGAGAAAUCCGAUCCCAUUGGUAUUGAAGGUGAACGGUUUAGAGUGCUGGCAGCAUGUAAUUUGUGAAGGUGACGUGGAUUGCAACAAACAGUGAGAUCAGAACUCCAAAGACAAUACAACAUGUCUUCCUUCUCCCGAUUCAAACAAGAAAGGGGUAUGUCAAAAACAAAUUCUUCAAGAUAAAACAAUGGAAAUACAAAUGAAUCCCAGCAGGAGUACAACGAGAAGCCAAAAAAACAAAGCAAAUUAGCAACGAACAUACAGGAACCAGGAAAGGAGGGAGAAACCCCAAGACAUAAGGAGAAUGCAGAAAAAGAUGGAAAAAGUAAGGAGAGCCAAGAAAGAUACAAGAAAUGAAUAAGUGAGUUUUAAUGGGAAGCGCUAAGACUAUAGACUGUCUGGAUCUGGCCUGCAGUUUGCAUUUGGGCAUUGCAUUUAAAAACUAAAUCCUGUUUGGAGUU